rnacentral:rRNA from 1 species
GACGAACGCCGGCGGCGUGCUUAACACAUGCAAGUCGAACGGAAAGGCCCUGCUUUUGUGGGGUGCUCGAGUGGCGAACGGGUGAGUAACACGUGAGUAACCUGCCCUUGACUUUGGGAUAACUUCAGGAAACUGGGGCUAAUACCGGAUAGGAGCUCCUGCUGCAUGGUGGGGGUUGGAAAGUUUCGGCGGUUGGGGAUGGACUCGCGGCUUAUCAGCUUGUUGGUGGGGUAGUGGCUUACCAAGGCUUUGACGGGUAGCCGGCCUGAGAGGGUGACCGGCCACAUUGGGACUGAGAUACGGCCCAGACUCCUACGGGAGGCAGCAGUGGGGAAUAUUGCAGAAUGGGCGGAAGCCUGAUGCAGCAACGCCGCGUGCGGGAUGACGGCCUUCGGGUUGUAAACCGCUUUCGCCUGUGACGAAGCGUGAGUGACGGUAAUGGGUAAAGAAGCACCGGCUAACUACGUG